UUUACUCAUCCUGCAUAAAAGACAGACACAUGGCAUGAGAGGAGUCUGCUUCAGCGCCGCCUCAGGCUCCUGCGUGUCCAUGAUUUUCAGGAAGUCGUAGAAGUCGAAAGCAGGAGGCCAGCUGGCGUCGCCCAGCAUCCCUAUGGAGAGAGACAAAGACGGAUGCAGAUCUAGAAUUAUGAUGUGAAAUAUAAUAAAGACAUGCUCCAUGUACCCAGCAGACAUCGUGCUGACAGUGUGCUGUCUGGAUCCACCAGGCUGAAAAUCCACCACUGCAGGUGGUCGACUUAUCCGAAGAUGUGUUUCAGUCCCAGCCUCGACUCUCUGCAGCCACCGUAGGACAGAAG